GAUGAACGCUAGCUACAGGCUUAACACAUGCAAGUCGAGGGGCAGCAUGGUCUUAGCUUGCUCAGGCCGAUGGCGACCGGCGCACGGGUGAGUAACACGUAUCCAACCUGCCGUCUACUCUUGGACAGCCUUCUGAAAGGAAGAUUAAUACAAGAUGGCAUCAUGAGUCCGCAUGUUCACAUGAUUAAAGGUAUUCCGGUAGACGAUGGGGAUGCGUUCCAUUAGAUAGUAGGCGGGGUAACGGCCCACCUAGUCUUCGAUGGAUAGGGGUUCUGAGAGGAAGGUCCCCCACAUUGGAACUGAGACACGGUCCAAACUCCUACGGGAGGCAGCAGUGAGGAAUAUUGGUCAAUGGGCGAGAGCCUGAACCAGCCAAGUAGCGUGAAGGAGGACUGCCCUAUGGGUUGUAAACUUCUUUUAUAAAGGAAUAAAGUCGGGUAUGGAUACCCGUUUGCAUGUACUUUAUGAAUAAGGAUCGGCUAACUCCGUG
rnacentral:rRNA from 1 species